rnacentral:tRNA from 1 species
ACCCCGCUGGUGUAGCGGUUUAACGCGGCGGUUACUCGUGCCGCAGACUAGGGUUCGAGUCCCUGGCGGGGUA